GAUGAACGCUGGCGGCGUGCUUAACACAUGCAAGUCGAACGGAAAGGCUCCUGCUUGCAGGGGUACUCGAGUGGCGAACGGGUGAGUAACACGUGGGUGAUCUGCCCUGCACUUCGGGAUAAGCCUGGGAAACUGGGUCUAAUACCGGAUAGGACCACAUUUUGGAUGGUGUGGUGGAAAGUUUUUCGGUGUGGGAUGAGCUCGCGGCCUAUCAGCUUGUUGAUGGGGUAAUGGCCUACCAAGGCGUCGACGGGUAGCCGGCCUGAGAGGGUGUACGGCCACAUUGGGACUGAGAUACGGCCCAGACUCCUACGGGAGGCAGCAGUGGGGAAUAUUGCACAAUGGGCGCAAGCCUGAUGCAGCGACGCCGCGUGGGGGAUGACGGCCUUCGGGUUGUAAACUCCUUUCGCUAGGGACGAAGCGCAAGUGACGGUACCUGGAGAAGAAGCACCGGCUAACUACGUG
rnacentral:rRNA from 1 species